GAUGAAGAACGUAGCAAAAUGCGAUAAGUAAUGUGAAUUGCAGAAUUCAGUGAAUCAUCGAAUCUUUGAACGCACAUUGCGCCCGCCAGUACUCUGGCGGGCAUGCCUGUCCGAGCGUCAUUUCAACCCUCAGGGCCCUCCAGCAGGCGCUGGUGUUGGGGAUCGGCAGUCCCAGCGGCUGCCGUCCCUGAAAUGUAGUGGCGGUCCCACCGUGACCUCCCCUGUGCAGUACAUCGCUCGCAGAGGGACAGCGGUGCGGCCACGCCGUAAAACGCCCAACUCUUCAAGGUUGACCUCGGAUCAGGUAGGACUACCCGCUGAACUUAAGCAUAUCAAUAAGCGGAGGA
rnacentral:misc_RNA from 1 species